GUCGAGCGAACGGACGAGAAGCUUGCUUCUCUGAUGUUAGCGGCGGACGGGUGAGUAACACGUGGAUAACCUACCUAUAAGACUGGGAUAACUUCGGGAAACCGGAGCUAAUACCGGAUAAUAUUUUGAACCGCAUGGUUCAAAAGUGAAAGACGGUCUUGCUGUCACUUAUAGAUGGAUCCGCGCUGCAUUAGCUAGUUGGUAAGGUAACGGCUUACCAAGGCAACGAUGCAUAGCCGACCUGAGAGGGUGAUCGGCCACACUGGAACUGAGACACGGUCCAGACUCCUACGGGAGGCAGCAGUAGGGAAUCUUCCGCAAUGGGCGAAAGCCUGACGGAGCAACGCCGCGUGAGUGAUGAAGGUCUUCGGAUCGUAAAACUCUGUUAUUAGGGAAGAACAUAUGUGUAAGUAACUGUGCACAUCUUGACGGUACCUAAUCAGAAAGCCACGGCUAACUACGUGCCAGCAGCCGCGGUAAUACGUAGGUGGCAAGCGUUAUCCGGAAUUAUUGGGCGUAAAGCGCGCGUAGGCGGUUUUUUAAGUCUGAUGUGAAAGCCCACGGCUCAACCGUGGAGGGUCAUUGGAAACUGGAAAACUUGAGUGCAGAAGAGGAAAGUGGAAUUCCAUGUGUAGCGGUGAAAUGCGCAGAGAUAUGGAGGAACACCAGUGGCGAAGGCGACUUUCUGGUCUGUAACUGACGCUGAUGUGCGAAAGCGUGGGGAUCAAACAGGAUUAGAUACCCUGGUAGUCCACGCCGUAAACGAUGAGUGCUAAGUGUUAGGGGGUUUCCGCCCCUUAGUGCUGCAGCUAACGCAUUAAGCACUCCGCCUGGGGAGUACGACCGCAAGGUUGAAACUCAAAGGAAUUGACGGGGACCCGCACAAGCGGUGGAGCAUGUGGUUUAAUUCGAAGCAACGCGAAGAACCUUACCAAAUCUUGACAUCCUUUGACAACUCUAGAGAUAGAGCCUUCCCCUUCGGGGGACAAAGUGACAGGUGGUGCAUGGUUGUCGUCAGCUCGUGUCGUGAGAUGUUGGGUUAAGUCCCGCAACGAGCGCAACCCUUAAGCUUAGUUGCCAUCAUUAAGUUGGGCACUCUAAGUUGACUGCCGGUGACAAACCGGAGGAAGGUGGGGAUGACGUCAAAUCAUCAUGCCCCUUAUGAUUUGGGCUACACACGUGCUACAAUGGACAAUACAAAGGGCAGCGAAACCGCGAGGUCAAGCAAAUCCCAUAAAGUUGUUCUCAGUUCGGAUUGUAGUCUGCAACUCGACUACAUGAAGCUGGAAUCGCUAGUAAUCGUAGAUCAGCAUGCUACGGUGAAUACGUUCCCGGGUCUUGUACACACCGCCCGUCACACCACGAGAGUUUGUAACACCCGAAGCCGGUGGAGUAACCUUUUAGGAGCUAGCCGUCGAAGGUGGGACAAAUGA
rnacentral:rRNA from 2 species